rnacentral:rRNA from 1 species
GAAUAUUGGACAAUGGGGGCAACCCUGAUCCAGCCAUGCCGCGUGAGUGAUGAAGGCCUUAGGGUUGUAAAGCUCUUUCAGCGGGGAAGAUGAUGACGGUACCCGCCGCAGAAGCCCCGCCUAACUCCGUGCCAGCCGCCGCGGAAAUACGGAGGGGGGAAGGGUUGUUCGGAAUUACUGGGCGUAAAGCGCGCGUAGGCGGCGAUUCUAGUCAGGUGUGAAAGCCCUGGGCUCAACCCGGGAACUGCACUUGAUACUGGAUUGCUAGAGUUCGGGAGAGGAGAGUGGAAUUCCCAGUGUAGAGGUGAAAUUCGUAGAUAUUGGGAAGAACACCAGUGGCGAAGGCGGCUCUCUGGACCGAUACUGACGCUGAGGCGCGAAAGCGUGGGGAGCAAACAGG